rnacentral:sRNA from 1 species
CCCGUCCGCCCCGUGGACGGCCCUGACCCCGUGACGAUGCUCGGGCUACCCUGACGGCGUGCGCCUUCCAUGGGAAGCGCAAAGCCGACAGCCGUCGCACUUCAGGGAGCACCUUCAUG